UGGCACCUUAAUUUGCAUGCACCCGCU
rnacentral:piRNA from 1 species